rnacentral:rRNA from 1 species
GAUGAACGCUGGCGGCGUGCCUAAUACAUGCAAGUCGAGCGAACGGACGAGAAGCUUGCUUCUCUGAUGUUAGCGGCGGACGGGUGAGUGACACGUGGAUAACCUACCUAUAAGACUGGGAUAACUUCGGGAAACCGUAGCUAAUACCGGAUAAUAUUUUGAACCGCAUGGUUCAAAAGUGAAAGACGGUCUUGCUGUCACUUAUAGAUGGAUCCGCGCUGCAUUAGAUAGUUGGUAAGGUAACGGCUUACCAAGGCAACGAUGCAUAGCCGACCUGAGAGGGUGAUCGGCCACACUGGAACUGAGACACGGUCCAGACUCCUACGGGAGGCAGCAGUAGGGAAUCUUCCGCAAAGGGCGAAAGCCUGACGGAGCAACGCCGCGUGAGUGAUGAAGGUCUUCGGAUCGUAAAACUCUGUUAUUAGGGAAGAACAUAUGUGUAAGUAACUGUGCACAUCUUGACGGUACCUAAUCAGAAAGCCACGGCUAACUACGUG